rnacentral:rRNA from 1 species
GCUCAGGACGAACGCUGGCGGCGUGCCUAAUACAUGCAAGUAGAACGCUGAGGACUGGUGCUUGCACUGGUCUAAGGAGUUGCGAACGGGUGAGUAACGCGUAGGUAACCUACCUCAUAGCGGGGGAUAACUAUUGGAAACGAUAGCUAAUACCGCAUGACAAUAGGGUACACAUGUACCUAAUUUAAAAGGGGCAAAUGCUUCACUAUGAGAUGGACCUGCGUUGUAUUAGCUAGUUGGUAAGGUAACGGCUUACCAAGGCGACGAUACAUAGCCGACCUGAGAGGGUGAUCGGCCACACUGGGACUGAGACACGGCCCAGACUCCUACGGGAGGCAGCAGUAGGGAAUCUUCGGCAAUGGGGGGAACCCUGACCGAGCAACGCCGCGUGAGUGAAGAAGGUUUUCGGAUUGUAAAGCUCUGUUGUUAGAGAAGAACGGUAAUGGGAG